AGAGAAAGACGACUAAAGUUUCUUAAACUAUCCAAUCAAAAUGAGUUUAUUCUCAUCGCUGUUAAUUAUAAUAAAUAAGUGGAGUCUCAUAGCUCAGCUGGUUAGAGCGCUACACUGAUAAUGUAGAGGUCGGCAGUUCAAGUCUGCCUGAGACUACUACGCUUAGUUUUAUUACUAAAUAAAAUGAGGAUUUUAGUUGCUGAGUUUUAUGAAUCUAAGAACUCAUUUCAUGGGGGAUUAGCUCAGCUGGCUAGAGCGCUAGAUUUGCAUUCUAGAGGUCGUGGGUUCGACUCCCACAUUCUCCACAAUCAGCAAUUUGCUGAAAAUGUUCUUUGACAUAUUGAAAAAAAUACAUGAAAUUAGAAAAUUUCUAAAAAGUAAAUUUAAAUUAAGUUUACGAGCAAAUAAUUUAUAACUCAUAAAAAUACAAAAGUUAC
rnacentral:tRNA from 1 species